GCGCCUUUUUGAUACACGCUUUCUCAGUUUGCAGUUUCGUUGUUUUACUUUUCGAUUGAGGAAUGAAUUAGUGUUCGCGUUUCUUUGAUUUAGAAAAAUGUCUUGCGAAUGUGAUGUUAGAAAGAUGUAGUUUUUGAAAAUGCAAUGUGAAUUCGCGUCGUGUUUGUUAGAUGAUUGAAUUUGAGCGCUCGUGUCGAGUUUUCGUUCGGUAAUCCGCGUCAAAAUUUCUACCCACCGAGUCGAAUAUUGGAGUUCGAGUGAUUCCAACUACGUCGAAGAAUCAAUCUCAGCCAGUGUACUCUAAAUAUUGGAUUUUGGACGUACAUACUUGGCUGAAUUGAAGGAAUACGAAGAUCACUCGGGUUCCAAUAUCAGAUGAAGUUUGUCGAAGCGUGUGUCCAUCCAAAUUACAAGCAUUCAAGGAGACUUCAUCGCACUUUGCUGCAGCCUCUGGAAGACUAAGACGGCAGUGUAGUGUGUUGUGUUAUUAUGCUUCAUGCAAGAGCUGUAGAUCUUCUGGAAGUGUAUGCCAAUCGUUUCGAAUGGUGUUGUGUGCCUUUGGGAGAACUGUGCUUCUCUCGAGGCUUGUAAUUUGGCAGUGUUGUAUACUUCAUGUGUGAGCUUUAGCGCCGCAUGGUAUGCCUACCUGUGUUUGUGAAUGAUGAUGGUGUUGUGUGCCUUUGGGAGGACCGUGCUCCUCCUGGAGGUUGUAGUUCGGUAGUGGCAGUGAUACCGUCAGGAGAACCGUUGUUCUCUUGGAGGUUGUAGUUCGGUAGUGUUGUGUGUGUAUACACUUCAUGUGUGAGCUAUAGCGCCGCAUGGUAUACUUGCGUUUGAUCGUAGUGUUGUGUGCCUUUGGGAGGAUCGUGCUCCUCCUGGGGGUUGUAGUUCGGUGCCGUCGGGAGAACCGUUGUUCUUUCGGGGGUUGUAGUUCGGUAGUGCUGUGUUGUGUUGUGUGCCUUUGGGAGGACCGUGCUCCUCUUGGGGGUUGAAGUUCGGUGCUGUCGGAAGAACCGUUGUUCUCUCGGGGGUUGUAGUUCGGUAGUGUUGUGCACUUCAUGUGUGAGCCUUAGCGCCGCAUGGUAUACUUAUGUUUGCAUCUGAUGGAGCUGUCAUUCUUUAUCUACUUAUUGGUGACUGAUGCCUGGAUUGUUUAGCUGAUGAACGCUGCACUGUCUACAGCCAAAUUGGAAAUAUCGGACAGGUAAAUAAUCAAGAAAUAU